GUUAUUAGGGAAGAACAUAUGUGUCGAGCGAACUGAAGAGGAGCUUGCUCCUUUGACGUUAGCGGCGGACGGGUGAGUAACACGUGGGUAACCUACCUAUAAGACUGGAAUAACUCCGGGAAACCGGGGCUAAUGCCGGAUAAUAUGUUGAACCGCAUGGUUCAACAGUGAAAGACGGUUUUGCUGUCACUUAUAGAUGGACCCGCGCCGCAUUAGCUAGUUGGUGAGGUAACGGCUCACCAAGGCCACGAUGCGUAGCCGACCUGAGAGGGUGAUCGGCCACACUGGAACUGAGACACGGUCCAGACUCCUACGGGAGGCAGCAGUAGGGAAUCUUCCGCAAUGGACGAAAGUCUGACGGAGCAACGCCGCGUGAGUGAUGAAGGUCUUCGGAUCGUAAUGCUCUGUUGUUAGGGAAGAACAAUUGUGUAAGUAACUGUGCACAUCUUGACGGUACCUAACCAGAAAGCCACGGCUAACUACGUGCCAGCAGCCGCGGUAAUACGUAGGUGGCAAGCGUUAUCCGGAAUUAUUGGGCGUAAAGCGCGCGUAGGCGGUUUUUUAAGUCUGAUGUGAAAGCCGACGGCUCAACCGUGGAGGGUCAUUGGAAACUGGAAAACUUGAGUGCAGAAGAGGAAAGUGGAAUUCCAUGUGUAGCGGUGAAAUGCGCAGAGAUAUGGAGGAACACCAGUGGCGAAGGCGGCUUUCUGGUCUGCAACUGACGCUAAUGUGCGAAAGCGUGG
rnacentral:rRNA from 1 species